rnacentral:rRNA from 1 species
GAUGAACGCUGGCGGCGUGCCUAAUACAUGCAAGUCGAGCGAACAGACGAGGAGCUUGCUCCUCUGACGUUAGCGGCGGACGGGUGAGUAACACGUGGAUAACCUACCUAUAAGACUGGGAUAACUUCGGGAAACCGGAGCUAAUACCGGAUAAUAUAUUGAACCGCAUGGUUCAAUAGUGAAAGACGGUUUUGCUGUCACUUAUAGAUGGAUCCACGCCGCAUUAGCUAGUUGGUAAGGUAACGGCUUACCAAGGCAACGAUGCGUAGCCGACCUGAGAGGGUGAUCGGCCACACUGGAACUGAGACACGGUCCAGACUCCUACGGGAGGCAGCAGUAGGGAAUCUUCCGCAAUGGGCGAAAGCCUGACGGAGCAACGCCUCGCGAGUGAUGAAGGUCUUCGGAUCGUAAAACUCUGUUAUUAGGGAAGAACAAAUGUGUAAGUAACUAUGCACGUCUUGACGGUACCUAAUCAGAAAGCCACGGCUAACUACGUG